GACGAACGCUGGCGGCGUGCUUAACACAUGCAAGUCGAACGGUGAAGCGCCUUCCUUUUUGGUGGGUGUGGAUGAGUGGCGAACGGGUGAGUAACACGUGAGUAACCUGCCCCCUUCUUCUGGAUAACCGCAUGAAAGUGUGGCUAAUACGGGAUAUUCUGGGUCUGUCGCAUGAUGGGUCUGGGAAAGAUAUUGUUUCGGUGGGGGAUGGGCUCGCGGCCUAUCAGCUUGUUGGUGGGGUGAUGGCCUACCAAGGCGGUGGCGGGUAGCCGGCCUGAGAGGGUGGACGGUCACACUGGGACUGAGACACGGCCCAGACUCCUACGGGAGGCAGCAGUGGGGAAUAUUGCACAAUGGGCGCAAGCCUGAUGCAGCGACGCCGCGGGAGGGAUGGAGGCCUUCGGGUUGUGAACCUCUUUCGCCAGUGAAGCAGGCCUGCCUCGUUUGUGGGUGGGUUGACGGCAGCUGGAGAAGAAGCGCCGGCUAACUACGUG
rnacentral:rRNA from 1 species